rnacentral:rRNA from 1 species
UACGAAGGGGGCUAGCGUUGCUCGGAAUCACUGGGCGUAAAGCGCACGUAGGCGGAUUGCUAAGUCAGGGGUGAAAUCCUGGAGCUCAACUCCAGAACUGCCUUUGAUACUGGCGACCUUGAGUCCGGGAGAGGUGAGUGGAACUGCGAGUGUAGAGGUGAAAUUCGUAAAUAUUCGCAAGAACACCAGUGGCGAAGGCGGCUCACUGGCCCGGUACUGACGCUGAGGUGCGAAAGCGUGGGGAGCAAACAGG